rnacentral:rRNA from 1 species
UGAUCCGGAGAUGUCUGAAUGGGGAAACCCACUUAUCAUAAGAUAGGUAUUGCAUGAUGAAUACAUAGUCAUGCAAGGCGAACGAGGGGAAGUGAAACAUCUCAGUACCCUUAGGAAAAGAAAUCAAUUGAGAUUCCCUUAGUAGCGGCGAGCGAAAGGGGAACAGCCCAUUAAGUUGUGUGUGUUCUAGUGGAACGCUCUGGGAAGUGCGAACGUAGAGGGUGAUAUUCCCGUACACGAAAGGGCACACACAAUGAUGACGAGUAGGGCGAGGCACGUGAAACCUUGUCUGAAUAUGGGGGGACCAUCCUCCAAGGCUAAAUACUCCUGACUGACCGAUAGUGAACCAGUACCGUGAGGGAAAGGCGAAAAGAACCCCUGUGAGGGGAGUGAAAUAGAUCCUGAAACCGCAUGCAUACAAGCAGUGGGAGCCGACUUGUUCGGUGACUGCGUACCUUUUGUAUAAUGGGUCAGCGACUUAUAUUCAGUAGCAAGGUUAACCGCAUAGGGGAGCCGUAGGGAAACCGAGUCUUAAUAGGGCGUAUAGUUGCUGGGUAUAGACCCGAAACCAGGCGAUCUAUCCAUGAGCAGGUUGAAGGUUGGGUAACACUAACUGGAGGACCGAACCCACUGUCGUUGAAAAGCCAGGGGAUGACUUGUGGAUAGGGGUGAAAGGCUAAUCAAGCCUGGUGAUAGCUGGUUCUCCCCGAAAGCUAUUUAGGUAGCGCCUCGGACGAAUACCAUAGGGGGUAGAGCACUGUUUCGGCUAGGGGGUCAUCCCGACUUACCAAACCGAUGCAAACUCCGAAUACCUAUGAGUACUAUCCGGGAGACAGACUGCGGGUGCUAACGUCCGUAGUCAAGAGGAAAACAAUCCAGACCGCCAGCUAAGGCCCCAAAAUCAUAGUUAAGUGGGAAACGAUGUGGGAAGGCAUAGACAGCUAGGAGGUUGGCUUAGAAGCAGCCACCCUUUAAAGAAAGCGUAAUAGCUCACUAGUCGAGUCGGCCUGCGCGGAAGAUGUAACGGGGCUAAAACUAUGUGCCGAAGCUGCGGAUGUAACUUUAAGUUACGUGGUAGGGGAGCGUUCUGUAAGCCGAUGAAGGUGGAUUGAGAAGUCUGCUGGAGGUAUCAGAAGUGCGAAUGCUGACGUGAGUAACGACAAAACGGGUGAAAAACCCGUUCGCCGAAAGACCAAGGGUUCCAGUCCAACGUUAAUCGGGGCUGGGUGAGUCGACCCCUAAGGCGAGGCCGAAAGGCGUAGUCGAUGGGAAAUUGGUUAAUAUUCCAAUACUUCUGUGUAAUGCGAUGAGAGGACGGAGAAGGUUAGGUCAGCCUGGCGUUGGUUGUCCAGGUGGAAGACAGUAGGCAUGCAUCUUAGGCAAAUCCGGGGUGCUCUAUGCUGAGAGUCGAUAGCAAGCUAGUUUACUAGCGAAGUGGCUGAUACCAUACUUCCAAGAAAAGUCUCUAAGCUACAGUUACACAGGAAUCGUACCCGAAACCGACACAGGUGGUCAGGUCGAGUAGACCAAGGCGCUUGAGAGAACUCUGCUGAAGGAACUAGGCAAAAUGGUACCGUAACUUCGGGAGAAGGUACGCUGUUGAUGGUGAUGGGACUUGCUCCCUGAGCGAUUGACAGCCGCAGAAACCAGGCCGCUGCAACUGUUUAUUAAAAACAUAGCACUCUGCAAACACGAAAGUGGACGUAUAGGGUGUGAUGCCUGCCCGGUGCUGGAAGGUUAAUUGAUGGGGUUAGCGUAAGCGAAGCUCUUGAUCGAAGCCCCAGUAAACGGCGGCCGUAACUAUAACGGUCCUAAGGUAGCGAAAUUCCUUGUCGGGUAAGUUCCGACCUGCACGAAUGGCAUAAUGAUGGCGGCGCUGUCUCCAGCAGAGGCUCAGUGAAAUCGAAUUCGCCGUGAAGAUGCGGUGUACCCGCGGCUAGACGGAAAGACCCCGUGAACCUUUACUGCAGCUUGACAUUGAACUUUGACCUUACUUGUGUAGGAUAGGUGGGAGGCU